UACGGGGGGGGCAAGCGUUGUUCGGAAUUACUGGGCGUAAAGGGCUCGUAGGCGGCCAAUUAAGUCAGACGUGAAAUCCCCAAGCUUAACUUGGGAACUGCGUCUGAUACUGAGUGGCUUGAAUUCGGGAGAGGGAUGCAGAAUUCCAGGUGUAGCGGUGAAAUGCGUAGAUAUCUGGAGGAAUACCGGUGGCGAAGGCGGCAUGCUGGACCGAGAUUGACACUGAGGAGCGAAAGCCAGGGGAGCAAACGGG
rnacentral:rRNA from 1 species